rnacentral:misc_RNA from 1 species
GUGAAGAACGUAGCGAAAUGCGAUAAGUAAUGUGAAUUGCAGAAUUCAGUGAAUCAUCGAAUCUUUGAACGCACCUUGCGCCCUUUGGCAUUCCGAAGGGCAUGCCUGUUUGAGUAUCAUGAACACCUCAACUCUUCAUGGUUUUCCAUGAUGAGCUUGGACUUUGGGGGUCUUGCUGGCCUGCGGUCGGCUCCUCUCAAAUGAAUCAGCUUACCAGUGUUUGGUGGGCAUCACAGGUGUGAUAACUAUCUGCGCUUGUGGUUUUCCACCAAGUAACCUUCAGCAGUGGAGGUUCACUGGAGCUCACAGACGUCUCUCCUCAGUGAGGACAGCCCUUUGAAUGUUUGAUCUCAAAUCAGGUAGGACUACCCGCUGAACUUAAGCAUAUCAAUAAGCGGAGGA